rnacentral:rRNA from 1 species
UACGUAGGCAGCAAGCGUUGUUCGGAAUUACUGGGCGUAAAGAGUGUGUAGGCGGUGCUCUAAGUUCGGUGUGAAAUCUCCCGGCUCAACUGGGAGGGUGCGCCGGAAACUGGGGUGCUGGAGCGCGGGAGAGGAAAGCGGAAUUCCUGGUGUAGCGGUGAAAUGCGUAGAGAUCAGGAGGAACACCGGUGGCGAAGGCGGCCUUCUGGGUCGACCCUGACGCUGAGGCGCGAAAGCGUGGGGAGCGAACAGG